rnacentral:rRNA from 1 species
CUCAAUGAUAUUUCAAUAGCCGCAACAUUUGUGCUAAGGUAGCAUAAUCAUUUGUUUUUUAAUUAAAAACUAGAACGAAAGAUUAAACAUUUAAAUUUCUUUCUUAAAUAUAUAAUAUUUUAAAUUAUCCUAAAUAUAAAAAGAUAUUUAUAAUAAAAAAAGACGACAAGACCCUAUUGAAUUUAACUGUAGUUUAACUGGGGUAGUUAAUUAAAUAUAAUUUUAGUUUUUUUCAUAAAAAAUCUAAUACAAUUAAAUUUCACAAAUUACCAUAGGGAUAACAGCGUAAUCAUUUUCACAAGAUCUUAUUUAAAAAAUAGUUUACGACCUCGAUGUUGAAUUAAUAACCUAUUAAACGAAACAAUUUAAUAUAGGAAGUC